rnacentral:rRNA from 1 species
UCACUUUCAACAACGGAUCUCUAGGCUCUCGCAUCGAUGAAGAACGUAGCGAAGUGCGAUAAGUAUUGUGAAUUGCAGAAUUCCGUGAAUCAUCGAAUCUUUGAACGCAAAUUGCACUCUCUUCGGAGAGUAUGCCUGUUUGAGGGUCAGU